ACAGGAGUAAAUGAGCUCACCUUCCUAGCCAUCAAGCCAGAUGGGGUACAGCGGCAUCUCAUAGGGGAGAUCAUCAGGCGCUUUGAAAAGAAGGGCUUCAAACUGGUGGGGAUGAAGCUUAUGCAGGCCUCCGAAGACUUGCUGAAGGAGCAUUAUAUAGCCCUCCACGAUCGCCCCUUCUACAGCCACCUGAUGAAGUACAUGAGAUCGGGUCCUAUUGUAGCCAUGGUCUGGCAGGGCCUGGAUGUGGUAAAGACAGCUCGCGCAAUGAUUGGUGAAACUAACCCAGCUGAUUCCAGACCUGGCACUAUCCGAGGGGACUUCUGCAUUGAUAUCAGCAAGAAUGUGAUUCAUGGCAGUGAUUCCAUCGAGAGUGCCCGGCGGGAGAUUUUACUCUGGUUCCACGCAGAUGAGCUGACCUGCUGGGUGGACAGCACUGAGCACUGGAUCUAUGAGUAAUAAGAGUGGUCUGGAGGAAGGGUAUCCUGCUGACAUUCAGUAUUACUGAAGUAGCACACACAACGCAAGGACAUGUGACACGAGGGGCAUGUUGAUUAUACACAACAUUGAUGGACAACCAUAUGCUCUCUAUGCAUCCAGUCACAACGCUGCAAAUUCUAGCACUGUUCUGCUUUGAGAGCAGAGCAUUCUCCCUGAAGAAAAUCAGCACUAGGAAGAGAAUGCAUCUUCAUGAGUCAUUAAAACCCCUAGGUUAACACAGAAGCCUUAUCACAUCAACAUGGAAGGAUGUUGAACUUGCCUUCACCAGAUACACUUUAAAACCAACUAUCACUAAACAGCUUGUCUCUUGAAAUUUUUUAAGGCUUUUAAAAAUGAUGAAACCAAGUAUUUUUUACCCCUCAUUUCAAAAAUACCAUGUGGACAAAGUAGCGCUGGCUCUUCCUUCGGCUAACCAACCCAUAUCCCAGCAAACUGUCAUGUCCAAGCGCACACUGUCGUGACAUCAAACACCUUUUUUGCCUCUGAUUCUACCAAAAAGUCCUCCGUGAUGUCACACUCACUGAGCACUACUUCAUGUUACCAACUGAUCAACAAUUAGAAGCAGAGGAGGGAGAUUUCCCAUAUAUAGCAUGUGUUCUGCACUCUACCCCAGCAUGAGACUGGUGGGCCCUCUAUGGCCAAAUAGCUGAAGUGGUUCCUGAAACCUUUGUUCCCUUCUCUGCAGAGGUAUGGUUUAAACCUGGUGCUGCCUGUGCUCAGAUCCUGAGAUAAGACUUGGUGCUUGAGGACAAUCUGUGCAGACAGGCUGGGAUGAGAUUUCCAUCUGGUGAACUACAUGUAAGAUUUUCUUUGGGCUGUCACGAGUCAUUAGCCUCGUUUCCCUGGAAGAUACGAGGUUAAUGCAUUGUUUCUCAUGCAGGUGAGAAUGAGGCAACCUUCCUGACAACCUGGGCCAACCCUUCCAAGAAAGGCUUGAUUCUCACUUCUUGGCAAGAGGUGUUUGGACAAUUCCUAACUCUAGGCUUCACCCUGUAGAUUCCCUGCCUUUUUUUCCCCUUUGUAGAUACCAGCUGCAGGAGAAUAGUAAUCCAACCACUCAACGUGCACAGGCCCAAUUAUGAAAGCUGCAAGUUCAGAGGUUAGAAUGGGAGGGGGGGGUCACCAUCCAAUGCAGGAGCUGUUGCAAUUGUCUGGGGUUCCAUUUCCAGCAGUAGGUGUAAUGCAGGAGUUCUGUAUGUACAUCUUGGCAUUCAGGUGGGAGAUGGGAGAGAUAUGUUGGCUGGAAAGGAGAGAUUCUCACUCAGGGAUAUAUGAUACUUGCCACACAAUAAUAUGGCUCCUCUCCGCCUUGGAAAGCACCGGUUUUACUUGGGG